ensembl:lincRNA
GGGAGUUCAGCAGGAAGAGGAAGUCUAAGGAGGCUGGAAGUGACUCUCUGUCUAGCCGAAACUACCUUAGAGAGCAGGAGAAAAUGGCAGGAUGCAAGAGGGCCAAAGGAUGGGGUCACACAAAGAAAAAGAGCUAGAGUUGACCUCUUUUCCACUCCAGGAAUGAGCUGUAAGCCAGGACACAAGCCUGAGGCCGAGAAGCCACCAGGGAUGGCAGAAUCGUCUGAAGGACUGGAGGUGGCCAGGGCUGAGGUCAAGGCCCCGAUGGAGGCUACGGGCAAGGUGGAUGGAAAAGAGACCAAGAGAAAAAAAUAAGUGGCUUAAUCACCCAACUUUACCCAGAGAAUGGAAUAUAAAAUGCAAGAUUCCAAACCCCGCCCUUCCAUUUCAUCUUCAUUUCUGAAAAACACAGGAAAAGGUGGGCUGUUUUGCCUUCCUACCAUGGACGAGGAUCUUGAAGGAGAGACUUGGCAGACUAUUUCCACUCCCUGGGGCUUCGGCCAGGCAGUAGAGGAUGAAGGAGAACAUACCUGCCAGUGAGUACUAGUCCUCAAGUACAAAUAUCUGGGGUCUUAUCAUUGUUUUCUGAGAU